rnacentral:rRNA from 1 species
UCUAAACUCAUUGAAAUUUUUAUAAAUUAUGAUUGAAUUCAUAACUAUAAAGAGUUAUAGUCUCGUUAUUUAAAAUUUCAAGCAUGGGAAUUAGAAUUAAAGAGUCGGGUAGCUUGAGAAUGCUGCCUUAAUAUAGGUGGUACACCCCAUCUAAAGCUAAAUAUUGUAAAGAGACCGAUAGCAUACAAGUAGUGUGAACGAAAGAUGAAAAGAACUCCUAAACGGAGAAUUAAAAGCGCCUGAACUUGUCUAGGUUUUCGCAUUUCUUUAAUGCGCCCGUCUUGAAACACGGAUUAGGGAGUUUUACUUAAAUACGAGUCUUUAACUUUUAAAGUAAUUUUUUUAAAAAAGGCGAAAAGAAAUUAACUGGUUUUUUUAACAUGGCUAUAGAGUAUUUAAGUCAAAACCCGAAUGGAGGUGAACUAUUCCUGCAAAGAUUGAAGUCAGGGGAAACUCUGAUGGAAGAUCGUUGGCGUUAUUGAUGUGCAAAUCAUUUGCUUUAUGUAGGUAUAGGUGCGAAAGACUCAUCGAACCUCCUAAUAGCUGGUUUCCUCCGAAGUUUCCCUCAGGAUAGCUGUAACAUUUUUAAAUAGUUAAGGAUAGUAGAGAAAUGGGUAGAGGUGUAGUGGAACUACGGUUCUGCAACUUAUUUCCAAACUUCGAACGUUCUUGAUAUAAAAAAUUACCUAAUAGGAAUUUUUUAUUUAAAUAUAUGUUAUAAGUGGGCUCUGACCGGUAAGCGGUCAUGGCGAAAAGGGAUGAACCUAACGUAUAAAUAAGGUGCCUAAAUUUACUAACAAUGAAACCAUUAAAAGAGUCCAUGUAUUUAGACAGCGGGUCGGUGCCCCUAAAAGCAGGUAUCCGUUAAUGAGUGUGUUAAAACUCCCCCGCCGAAUACUCUGGCCUUGAAAAUGAAUGGCGCAUAUAGUAAUACCGAUAUUAUACAUUAAAAUUAUUUAAAAAUUUUAAAAGUAGGGGGAUGUGGAUAUCUUAGAGAAUUUUUAAUUGUAAAAUUGAAUUGAAAGAUAUCUAUUACAGAUCCUAAUUGAAGUAGCGAUUAUCCAGGUUAAUCUCCUGGGGGCUGAUGAGGAGUAGGGUUUCUGGGCAACUUAAACGGACCCAGAGUUAGUCGAUCCUAAUCAAAUUAAAUUUAGAGAAAGGGAAUAUGAAUGAUAUUUCAUAACUAAAAUUAAUUUUUAAAUGGUGACAUUUUUUUAAACUUAUUUCCAUCAAUUAAAUACUGUUUAAUAGGGAUUUCUUUCCUAUAUAACUUUUUAAUUAAAACUUAAGAAACAGGUUAACUGGAGAAUAAAGUUUUAAUUUAGUAAAAUUAUAAUUUCGAUUAUAAUAACGGCUAUUUAAAUGAUCCAUGAAACAAUAAGUUUAUUUUUUCAAAAAUUAAUUUAAUCGUACCGAUAACCGCAUCAGGUCUCCAAGGUGAGUAGCUUCUGGCCAUUGAGUAAUGGUAAUUUAGGGAAUUCGGCCAAUUAGAGCUGUAACUUCGGGAUAAAGCUUGGCUCUGAUGGAAAUCAGAACCGAUAGUUACAAGGAGAGCCCAACUGUUUAAUAAAAACUUAGUGUCGCGUCAUACCUUUAUAAGUAAUAAACGUGACAUGAAUCCUGCUCAGUGCUGUGUUUGUUAAACUGGAUUAAUCCAUUUAAGCGCCGGUAAAUAGCUGGGGUAACUAUGACUCUUAUCAAAGUAGCGAAAUACCUCGUCACUUAAUUAGUGACCUGCAUGAACGGAGCUAUGAGGUUCUCACUGUCCCAAAUUAUCACUCAGCGAACCAACAGUUGUGGGAACGGGCACAAAUUAUCCAGCGGGGAAAGAAGACCCUGUAGAGCUUCACUUUGGUCUAAUCUUGUAUAGUUUCGUUAGGGGUGCAGUCUAGGUGGGAGAUUUUUAAUCAAAUAUGAGAAACCACUACCCUUUCUGGAAUUAUACUUACUAAAAUUCUUUUCUAAAUUUUAGGAUCGGAUUAGAUAGAAAGUUUGGCUGGGGCGGCACACCUUCGAAAAAGCAGCGAAGGUGUCCUAAGUUAAGCUCAGUAAGGACAGAAAUCUUACGUUGAGGAUAAGGCCAAAAGCUUAAUUUACUGUGCCUUUUUGUACUAGGAUCAGUUUGGAAACAAAGGCCUAACGAUCCCUAAUUAGUCUUAGGUGUGUAAGACUUGGGGUGACAGACAAGUUACCUCCGGGACAACUGGCUUGUGGCUGCUAAGAGAUCAAAUCAACGCAGCUUUUUGAUUCUUCGAUGUCGGCUCUUCCUAUCCUAGUGAUGUACAAGUCACUAAGGGUUGGAUUGUUCAC